UACGGAGGGGGCGAGCGUUGUCCGAAGUUACUGGGCGUAAAGCGCGCGUAGGCGGGUGGCGAAGUCCGCUGUGAAAGCCCGGAGCUUAACUCUGGAGGGUCGGUGGAUACUGGCUAUCUUGAAGGUGCUAGGGGGAGAUGGAAUUACCGGUGUAGCGGUGAAAUGCGUAGAGAUCGGUAGGAACACCAGUGGCGAAGGCGGUCUCCUGGGGCAUUCUUGACGCUGAUGCGCGAAAGCUGGGGGAGCGAACGGG
rnacentral:rRNA from 1 species